rnacentral:rRNA from 1 species
UACAGAGGUCUCAAGCGUUGUUCGGAUUCAUUGGGCGUAAAGGGUGCGUAGGCGGCGCGGUAAGUCGGGUGUGAAAUCUCGGAGCUUAACUCCGAAACUGCAUUCGAUACUGCCGUGCUUGAGGACUGGAGAGGAGACUGGAAUUACGGUGUAGCGGUGAAUGCGUAGAUAUCGUAAGGAAGACCAGUGGCGGAAGGCGGGU